rnacentral:rRNA from 1 species
AUCUGCAUGGCCGAAAGCCUCAGGUUUCUGGAGGAAGGUUCGUCCGCUCCAGGUUAGUCGGGAGCUAAGGUGAGGCCUAACGGCGUAGCCGAUGCACAGACGGUAGAGAUUCCGUCACCACCAAAAGAGUUAAGCACAGGGACACAUUUGAAGUCUCGGAGCCGGGUGUUGGUUCCGGUAGCGAUCGAGGGAAGUUAGUACCGAAGUCCGGGAUGGAAGAUGGCGAGAAAAGCUGUGUGUAUUUCUGCGGUGCCCGUACCGCAAACCGACACAGGUAGGUAGGAAGAAGAUUCUAAGGCCAACGGGAGAAGGGUUGUUAAGGAACUCGGCAAAUUGACCCCGUAACUUCGGGAGAAGGGGUGCUCCAGAGAUGGAGCCGCAGAGAAUCGGCCCAAGCAACUGUUUACCAAAAACACAGGUUUGUGCUAAAUCGAAAGAUGACGUAUACGAGCUGACGCCUGCCCGGUGCUGGAAGGUUAAGAGGAGAUGUGCAAGCAUUGAAUCGAAGCCCCAGUGAACGGCGGCCGUAACAAUAACGGUCCUAAGGUAGCGAAAUUCCUUGUCAGGUAAGUUCUGACCCGCAUGAAAGGCGUAAUGAUUUGGGCACUGUCUCGACAGCCCGCCCGGCGAAAUUGUAGUACCGGUGAAGAUGCCGGUUACCCGCGACAAGACGGAAAGACCCCAUGGAGCUUUACUGUAGCCUAAUAUUGGGUUUCGAUGUUGCAUGCACAGGAUAGAUGGGACACAGGGAAACAAGUGCUUUGGCAUUUGUGGAGUGGCCGUUGGGAUACCAUCCUUGCGAUAUUGGAAUUCUAACCUGCGCCUUUGAAUCAAGGCGGGGGACAUUGUUAGGUGGGCAGUUUGACUGGGGCGGUCGCCUCCUAAAGAGUAACGGAGGCGUUCAAAGGUUCGCUCAGCUUGAACGGAAAUCAAGCAAAAGAGUGCAAACGCAGAAGCGAGCCUAACUGCGAGACUGACGGGUCGAGCAGUAACGAAAGUUGGAGUUAGUGAUCCGGUGGUAUGUGAGUGGAAAUGCCAUCGCUCAACGGAUAAAAGUUACCCUGGGGAUAACAGGCUGAUCUCCCCCAAGAGUCCACAUCGACGGGGAGGUUUGGCACCUCGAUGUCGGCUCAUCGCAUCCUGGGGCUGUAUUCGGUCCCAAGGGUUUGGCUGUUCGCCAAUUAAAGCGGUACGCGAGCUGGGUUCAGAACGUCGUGAGACAGUUCAGCCCCUAUCUGUCGUGGGCGCAGGAUAUUUGAUGGGAGCUGUUCCUAGUACGAGAGGACCGGAGCGGACGUACCUCUGGCGCACCAGUUGUUCUGCCAAGGGCAUAGCUGGGCAACUAUGUACGGAUCGGAUAAACGCUGAAAGCAUCUAAGCGUGAAGCCGACCCAAAGAUAAGAUAUCCCAUUGUUUCAAACAAGUAAGACCCCUUGAAGACUACAAGGUUGAUAGGCAUGAUGUGUAAGUGGAGUGAUCCAUUCAGCAAGCAUGUACUAAUAGGUCGAGGGCUUGAUC